rnacentral:lncRNA from 1 species
AGUACUUGAAAAAGCAACAUUAAGCAAGUCUAUGGAGGACGAAGUGCGGAUGAGCAGAGAUGGGGACAACAACAAGAACAGCUUCACCUUCUUGGGGCAGCCAUCAGAAAUGUGAAGGUCGUAAGUGGGACAGAAGCUUUGUUGCAGAAGAAUGCAGUACAGGGACAACAAUAAGAUCAGCUUCACCUUCUUGAAGCAGCUAGUGAAGUGUGAAGGUCGCAAGUGGGACAGAAGCUUUGUUGCAGAAGAAUACAGUAAAAAAUGUCGUGCACAACCAAGUUUCUGAACAUUUGGUAAUUUCAACAUGUGAUUCAAGUUGUAUAACAUGCAGGG